AUGGCCAGGAUAAUAGGUCGUGAUUCCACGAGGGUGAGCUAACCCUAAAACUCUGUCCUCAGUACGGAUUGCAAGCUGCAACUUGCUUGGACAAUU
rnacentral:rRNA from 1 species